AGGUCACUUUCCUUUGCGCCAGAGACCACAGGCUCCGCCGCUCGAGGCCCAGACCAUAGAGAUGCGGAAACCUCCGGAUUCCUAGAGAGGAAAUGCGGGCUCAGGAUGUCGGCUUCGGGCGGUUGCCCACUUUCGGCUUCUUUCAGACAGCAACACAUUUUGCAAAAUGCUGACAUAAAGCAUUCACCUGGGCACAGGACUGCUCAGAAGGCACUCGCAGCUCUCAAAAGGCAUUUCAGAUCUACUUUUUUGAAAUCAUCUGACUGGAUUUCGUUCAAGCUCUUGUUGCUGAACCAGUCAUCAAUGUCUCAAGCCUUUCCAGUCGUAAUCUCCACAGAAGGCUAAAGCACAGCUAACAAAUGGUGCAGUCAAAGGGAGGCUCUGCCCCCAUGACCAGGCCAUGUCUCAGAGCAGCCACAAAUGACAGCAGGUCUCCAGAUCAGCAACAUGCAGAAAGAGAAGCUGAUGGGGGUUGUGGGGAAAGGCUUCCAUCCCUCAGGGCAAAGGAAGCCAGAAGGUUGACAAAAGGACCCUGUCUCGGUUGGCCUGAAGCAGAGGUGAAUUGAAUUGAGGAGGACACCUUGACAAGGAGAAAAAAAAAUCAAGUCACAGAUGGGGCAGUCUGGGAGGGCUGACAAAGACAGCCCCAUAGUGUGAAGUCACACACAUUUCCUCAGGAAACCAUCUGUUUGAACAUUCUGUCUGUCCAGUCUAGAUUGAUUUGUAGAAGAGAACUGCAGUCUGUUCCACGCCUAGCCUGAGCCAUGGCCUGUACUGCCUGUUAUGUUGUAAGACCCUCUGAUUUCCAGGACCCUCUGGCUUUGGAUUUUGGUCCCC